GGUUAGGUGGCCGAAUACAGGCGGCAAGCUGUAAAUUUGUUGAUGGGGGUGAAAUUCCCCUCCUUUCCA
rnacentral:tRNA from 1 species